rnacentral:rRNA from 1 species
CCUACGGGCGGCAGCAGUGGGGAAUAUUGGGCAAUGGGCGCAAGUCUGACCCAGCAACGCCGCGUGAAGGAAGAAGGUCUUCGGGUUUGAAAGUUCUUUUCUAAGGGAAGAAGAAGGUGACGGUACCUGCGGAAUAAGCCUCGGCUAACUACGUGCCAGCAGCCGCGGUAAUACGGAGGCGGCGAGCGUUAUCCGGAUUCACUGGGUGUAAAGGGUGCGUAGGUGGUAAGGUAAGGCAGUAGUGAAAAUCGAGGGCUCAACCUGUGGCGUGCCUCUGAAACUGUUUUUCUUGAGUGCUGGAGAGGCAUGCGGAAUUCCUAGUGUAGCGGUGAAAUGCGUAGAUAUUAGGAGGAACACCAGUGGCGAAGGCGGCAUGCUGGCCUGCAACUGACGCUGAGGCACGAAAGCGUGGGGAGCAAACAGGAUUAGAUACCCCGGUAGUC